AUGAACGCUGGCGGCGUGCCUCAUACCUGCCAGUCGAGCGAACAGACGAGGAGCUUGCUCCUCUGACGUUAGCGGCGGACGGGUGAGUAACACGUGGAUAACCUACCUAUAAGACUGGGAUAACUUCGGGAAACCGGAGCUAAUACCGGAUAAUAUAUUGAACCGCAUGGUUCAAUAGUGAAAGACGGUUUUGCUGUCACUUAUAGAUGGAUCCGCGCCGCAUUAGCUAGUUGGUAAGGUAACGGCCUACCAAGGCAACGAUGCGUAGCCGACCUGAGAGGGUGAUCGGCCACACUGGAACUGAGACACGGUCCAGACUCCUACGGGAGGCAGCAGUAGGGAAUCUUCCGCAAUGGGCGAAAGCCUGACGGAGCAACGCCGCGUGAGUGAUGAAGGUCUUCGGAUCGUAAAACUCUGUUAUUAGGGAAGAACAAAUGUGUAAGUAACUAUGCACGUCUUGACGGUACCUAAUCAGAAAGCCACGGCUAACUACGUG
rnacentral:rRNA from 1 species